GACCAGACUCUUGAGCCUCGGGCGCCGUGUUUCUGCGCGAGAGAGGACCUCCGCCAGUCACUUUUUCCGCCCAAGGGGGAGGAUCCUCUGGGCCUUCCGUGCUGUGACGUCGGGAAAGACGGGGUCGACCGGCGUCCAGGAGUGUGGCAAGGGUCUCGCGGUCUCCGCGGUCCAGGGCAUGGACAAGCGCCGAGGCGCCUGCGUGAUCUCGGACUGAGGGAUCUGCGCCGUGGGCAAGGAGCAACGAGGCCACUGCGGCACCCCCACCCCCGGCGCAAGCGUGCAUGAGCGCCGUGCGCCCUAGGCGGUCUGCGAUGUUGGGGUCUGCGCCUUGCUCCAGGAGACUGUGAGCCCAAAUAGAUACCUGAAUGUCCGCAGAAUUUCUGCCAGGCCAGGAUUGGAGACGCGGCCAUGGAGCAGCUGGAAUGCGGGAGCCGAGUUCCAGGGGGCUCAUAUGGCGUGGUGGUGGUGGUGGGGGGUGCCCGGAUUCCCCUGGUGUCAGUAUCUGCGCCCCAGCGCCGGAUCCUGGUCCCUCCUCCCGGUGCGCCCCGGGCACAGCGCCGGCUCUGGAGGAGAGAAGCUGGGGGGGGGGGGGGGCGGAGCUCUGCUGUGCUAUUUAUAGCCCAGUCUCUGCGGGUGGGGGCGUCGGCACCAAACCGCUCCCCACCCAUGCACACAUAAACCCUGAAAAACCUA